AUCCCUGCCUGCCUGAGGCCUUCUGAAGGAUGGUACGUGGCCCCUUUCUGGUGUAUUGCUCAGAGAGCUGUCGGUUCCCCAUCCCUGGAUGUGCUGAAGGCCAUAGAUGGGGCUCCGUGUAGAGCCAGCCCACAACAGAGGUGGAACCAUACGGGCAUGAAGGUCCCUUCUAACCCAACCAAUACGAAGAUACAAUGAUUUUUUGCACUGAGUGACCUCCAUCCAUCCAGGCCUCAGUGAUGCUCUUCCAGUUUCUGGUACAGCCUCCUGAGCCUUGGAAAUCUCACACAGUGGGCAACCACCGCCCCACAACUGGUCCUGAGCAAUGCUUCAGCCAAUGCUGCAGGUCCUGGAUGGGGUCCCAGCUGUCCCAAGGCUGUGAGGCACAAUCCAGAAACAGCCUCAAAGUUAUAUCCUGAGAGAAGAAGAGGGUUAAAGAGGGAAGCGAGGAGACGGCGCAGGAACCUGAGCGAAGCAGCAACGUCCCUGCAGGGCUCAGGAACCGUGAGAAAACCAACGGCACACAGCAAUUCAGAGCCCCACCUUGCUCAGGGCAGGAGGAGCAGAACCUGCAGCACCCCAGGAAAGUCAGAGACAGCACUGCAGCCUGUGGAGCUGCGGGUAGAAUAGGGGUAAAGCCGUGCACUGAAUUAGCCUGCACAGCAGUCAAUGGGAUUGUGAGAACCAAUUGAGUUUGUCACAGUAUUUUUUGUUCCUUAUGGAUUUUUCCCUCUCAGCCAUCUCUUCCCCAGGCUGAACAGCCCCAGGGCUCUCAGCCUUUCCCCAUGAGGGAGAGGUUCCAGGCCUCCCACCAUCUCUGCAGCCCUCUGCUGUGCUCUCAGAGGGGAGGAGCACCUGCCUUGCUCUGCUGGCCACACUCUGUGCCAUGCACCCCAGGGUCCCAUUGGCCUUCUUGGCCACCAGAGCACACUGCAGGCUCAUCAUCAACCCUAAUGCCCCAGGGCUGCUCCUUCCCAAAGUGCCCAGGGCCAAGAGCAUCCUCUGUCUGGACCAGGGAAGCCAGGGGUCAUCCUUAUUCCAAGGCACAAAUCUGAAGUACUUUAGCUAGACACUGACAUUUCAAAAAGGAUGAGUGAUUUUAUACAACUUUCAUGUUCAAAACACCCUGUUUUCUUAAAGUCUUCCUGGGGGAUCCCCAGGCAUAAUAUAUUCAGUACAAACUUGCCAAUGCUUGUGGUUCUGCAAGGCUGCCCCAUGCCCAGCUGCCAGCAGUGCAGCAUCUCCUCUCCUCUAGCAAUGGGCAGCUUUGCAGGGCUUGAAGGACAGCUUGCUUGCAUUACUUUUUUCAAGCAACCAAACACAAAGUCUCCUUUGGCUGAGCUAAACAACCACAUCUGAAAAACUUUCCCUACUGCCCUGGCCUUUAUUGCUCAUUCCUCAUUAGGAGAAAUCUCUUAGGAUCAAUCCAGCCUCACCUGGGCAGCUUAAAAUUAGACACCGAGGCAGUCACUCUGGGUUCCUCACAGAGCCAAUGGAGAAACCACAUGGUUUAUCCAUCAUAAGAUGGAGACGGAAGGAGGGGCUAAUUAAUAAUUUUCCAUUUCCACUGUCAAUUAAAGGGACCCAGAUGGAGAUAAGUGAAGCUCAAACAUAGCGAAGUGGCCUGAACAACAUCUUUUAUCUUUUGUGAGCACAUAUGGACAAAAACACACGUGUACAGUAUUGCAAAGGACCAGCCUUCAUUCCUAGGAUGCUGAGCUAGCACUGUGCUGCCAGGAUGGGAUGCUACACAUCUCCUGGGUCUUUCUGU